GGAUGUGAGGGCGAUCUGGCUGCGACAUCUGUCACCCCAUUGAUCGCCAGGAUUGAUUCAGCUGAUCUCGCUGAUCCGUGUGCGUCCCUCCUGAAGCUGCGCUCAGUGGAAGAGGACGGCCUUCCCGGAAUAGAGACGGAGCGGUCUUCGGUGGAGGGUAUAGGAGUAGUUGCACUCCCCUGCUAGAACCUCCAAACAAGCUCUCAAGAAUAGGCAUGCUUGUCUAAUACUUGCUCUUAGAGGGAAACGUUGUAUUUUCAUAACUGAAUAUGAUGUCAUAUGAGAUAUGUUUUUU
rnacentral:snRNA from 1 species